UACGUAGGGUGCGAGCGUUGUCCGGAAUUACUGGGCGUAAAGAGCUCGUAGGUGGUUUGUCGCGUUGUUCGUGAAAUCUCACGGCUUAACUGUGAGCGUGCGGGCGAUACGGGCAGACUGGAGUACUGCAGGGGAGACUGGAAUUCCUGGUGUAGCGGUGGAAUGCGCAGAUAUCAGGAGGAACACCGAUGGCGAAGGCAGAUCUCUGGGCCGUAACUGACGCUGAGGAGCGAAAGCAUGGGGAGCGAACAGG
rnacentral:rRNA from 1 species